rnacentral:rRNA from 1 species
AUUAGAGUUUGAUCAUGGCUCAGAUUGAACGCUGGCGGCAUGCUUUACACAUGCAAGUCGAACGGUAACAGGUCUUCGGAUGCUGACGAGUGGCGAACGGGUGAGUAAUGUAUCGGAACGUGCCCAGUAGUGGGGGAUAACUACUCGAAAGAGUGGCUAAUACCGCAUGAGAACUGAGGUUGAAAGCGGGGGACCUUCGGGCCUCGCGCUACUGGAGCGGCCGAUAUCAGAUUAGGUAGUUGGUGGGGUAAAGGCCUACCAAGCCGACGAUCUGUAGCUGGUCUGAGAGGACGACCAGCCACACUGGGACUGAGACACGGCCCAGACUCCUACGGGAGGCAGCAGUGGGGAAUUUUGGACAAUGGACGCAAGUCUGAUCCAGCAAUGCCGCGUGCAGGACGAAGGCCUUCGGGUUGUAAACUGCUUUUGUACAGAACGAAAAGGCUCUGGUUAAUACCUGGGGCUCAUGACGGUACUGUAAGAAUAAGCACCGGCUAACUACGUGCCAGCAGCCGCGGUAAUAAU